AGCCUCCCUGCCCUAGAACUGCAGGGCUCAUUGUUCUGCACCAGAGAAGCCACAUCACAGUGGGAAGGACCCUGGAGGACACAGCUGCCCAGUGCCCAGCCACUUUAGGGCUAAAGCAAAGGUCCCAAGUGCCUUAAAACUGGCCCCCAAGAAGUCCUACAGGAAAUUUGUGCUGGGGCAGAAAGAUCAGGUUCCUCUCUCCCCAGGCUCUGUCAGCUACCUUGUGCCUGAGCUGGGCUGCACCCCCAGGCCACAUGGAUGUGGAGUGCAGACUAGCACUUCACAGGGUAUAGCUUGUGGCACACACGUGCCAGGUCCAUUUUCCAGGCCACACGUGCAGGCUGGAGGUUUGAAGACUUCCUGGAAGGAAACAAAUGGCUGAGUCUCAUCAGCAAGCAAAGGAUGCUCAUUUGAAAGAAUGAUUCCCACUUCACACCUUACUGUAAUUUUCCAAUUAAUUGUGAUUUAAAUAUGUUAAUGAAGCUAACUAGGUUGAGCAUCAGUCUAAAGACUCUCUGAAUAAUGAAGCAAGAACUCCUGGUACAAGCACAAAGGUGGAAACUCUUCUGAACAGCCUCAGAAUGAGACAGGCACACAGCCCUGAGCUGAGCACUUGGCAGCCAUACCCAGUAGUGGCCCGGGGGCCACAUAAGGUGUCCUGACUCUAAGUACAAAGAACUCAUUCCUGUCCGGGAAACACAUGAACUUGGACACUGCUUAAAAAAAGGAAAGAGCCCUCCCAUCCCCAACUGGAGCCCAGUACAGGUAGGACAGAGCUGGCCCUCCAUUUGGAAAUACUUCACUUUUCCCUCUCCUGGAGAGACAAGACAAAGGGCCUUAGACAAAGGGGGGGAGCUCCUGUGUUGGAGAAAUCCACAAGCCACCCUGAUUCUGGUAUCCCAACCCAGGGCACCCUCUAUGGCAGUGAUCCCUCAGACCACGCCUGAAAGAUUACAUGAAAGCUUGGCUCUGAGCCUUCCCCAGGGUCACUGCAACGUGGCACCCACCCUUCUGACCUCUCUAUCUCUCUCCCAUCUGUAA
rnacentral:lncRNA from 1 species